AACAUCGCGCACCUGCGGGAACCUGCGGAAGGAUCAUUACAAGUGACCCCGGUCUUACCACCGGGAUGUUCAUAACCCUUUGUUGUCCGACUCUGUUGCCUCCGGGGCGACCCUGCCUUCGGGCGGGGGCCCCGGGUGGACACUUCAAACUCUUGCGUAACUUUGCAGUCUGAGUAAACUUAAUUAAUAAAUUAAAACUUUCAACAAUGGAUCU
rnacentral:misc_RNA from 1 species